UUCGCCAGGGUACUACGAGCACAGCUUAAAACCCAAAGGACUUGGCGGUGUCUCAGACCCACCUAGAGGAGCCUGUUCUAGAACCGAUAACCCCCGUUAAACCUCACCACUUCUUGUUUUCCCCGCCUAUAUACCGCCGUCGUCAGCUUACCCUGUGAAGGCCUAGCAGUAAGCAAAAUGGAUACAUCCAAAAACGUCAGGUCGAGGUGUAGCGUACGAAGUGGGAAGAAAUGGGCUACAUUUUCUAAAUAACAGAAUAUUUACGGACGGCACCUUGAAAGUAAGUGCCCGAAGGUGGAUUUAGUAGUAAAAA
rnacentral:rRNA from 1 species